GUUUAGGGAAGAGUGCAGUGUCAUCUGGGCGACGGCGAGUGAUCAGCGAUCGUAGGGCGCGGAUCAGACCCUCCUGUAGUUGCUCUACGGCCCACAUGUCCGAGAUGCCAGAGCGGUCUGAGGAGCAGAGGAUGUCAGUAGACCAGCACCACAGCCAUGAAGAGGGCCAUUUCAUCAGGCUCUAGCCCCAGAGAGCCCAACUUCUCGCUGAAUUCAAACAUUGCAUCCAGCAGAGAGCCCAUGCCCAAGGCCCGCAGCGUGGACAGGGGGCGGCAUCAACACAGAAGCUUCCGUGAGAGCGGCGGAGCGGCGGGAGGGAGGAGAGGAGGGCCCGGCUAUCUCACGCGGUGCACGCGGCUCUGCAAGGGAAGCCACGUGAGGAGGCUUUUUGAUGGGGCUUUCGCUGGGAAGACAUGAAGCUGCUCUCUAGCCAGCAGCCACAGCUCCUACAGCCCGCCAGGGGCUUAUAAUUAAAGAGCCAAAUUAAAUAGAGCAGCAUGUUAUGCGGAGGGGUGGUCUGACUGCACCACCAGCAGCAGCAGCAGCAGCAGCAGCAGCAGCAGCAGCAGCAGCAGCAGCAGCAGCAGCAGCAGCAGCAGCAGCAGCAGCAGCAGCAGUAACAGUGCUGCCCCCACUGUCAGCCAGCCGCUGCAUCCAGUUCAAAACCACUGGGGUAAAGUCUAUGUGUCAGUGUGUGACCGGACCCUUGAGUUCUGGGUAAAUUGUCUCAUAGUAAAACCUCAUUAACACUAAAUCACUUAAUUGUGGUGGAUCACAGCUCAGGAGCCCAUGUUUGGACUGUUGUUUAACGUUUAAAAUAAUAUUAGUAAUAAUAAUAAUGAUAGGGAAUAACUAGUUAAAUUGUAACACAAGUCAUUUGUCCCUCUGAUCUGCUUCCAUUCAGUGUGAGUAAUGUCAUUAUUAUUAGGCGUGUCCUGCUUGUUCUCAAAAAAAGAAAAAGUAAGGCAAGCCUACUAUUAGGAUACACUUUUCAUUGCAUAUCUAUCUAUCUAUCUAUCUAUCUAUCUAUCUAUCUAUCUAUCUAUCUAUCUAUCUAUCUAUCUAUCUAUCUAUCUAUCUAUCUAUCUAAUGUGUGAAUUUUACAUUUUUAUGAUUGUUUUGCAAAGUAGAAGGUGGUAUUGAAUUCAGAUGGUUAUUCAGUUGACAUUUUAGUGAUAUCCAAUCAUUUUUAUUAAUAAGUGAUUGUUUCCACAAUAAAUAACUAUGGAAUUUGCAAAGACAUGAUCAUAAUGAACAUAAAAAACAUUAUUUUUUUUUAAACUUUUAAUAAAAUGUAUGCAAGAUAUAUGCCAUGGACUUUAAAGUUCCUCAAUUAUAUAUUGACCCUUGUAAUGGAUAGUUUUAUAGUUGGCGUUUUAUUGUAGGUGAAAAUUGCUAUCUAUCUAUCUAUCUAUCUAUCUAUCUAUCUAUCUAUCUAUCUAUCUAUCUAUCUAUCUAUCUAUCUAUCUAUCUAUCUAUCUAUCUAUCUGUGUGACCUUUACAUUUUUACCCUGAAGUGGGGUGUAUUUAAAUAAAUAAUCAUGACUUAUUACCCAGCAAAUUUCUUGUUUUGGAUAACUUUUUAUUUUGGGUUUUAUUGUCGGCGAAAAUUGUUGGUUUGAAUAUUUUUGUGGUGGCUGUAGUAGUUUUAAACAUGCUGAGAAUAAUGCAGAAAACCUCCACCAGGGGAGUGUCGGAGGAAGUUUUAGUGAGAGCAGCUACAGAGCAUGAAGUUAUGCAGUGGACAGCAGGGCAUGCCAAAUUGGUCAGGCAACUUUGUUUGUCUGUUGUUUAUCAAAUGUCACGGAGCCACAUUUGAUUAUGAUCUGCCAACUGAAUGCGACGUAACGGUGCAGCUAUAGGCUGUUUCUACAGAGCAAAUGUUGGUGACAAAGAGGAAUAUUUGUGUCACAUUUGGUUCUGGCACUACAGUACAGCUGAUCUUUGACAUGAGAUAAAGUUUCUAGAAAUAUCGAUUCUGGACAAUAUUCUGUAAUCCAUUUGCACAACAUGUUUUCAGAUAGUUUUCACUGAUUUGGUUUAUUUCUAAAAAAUAAGUCCACAAAAACUCUUAAAGGUGACCUUGAUCUGUCCUACCGUAUAUUUACUAGUCUGCUGGUCACACAGUCGAUAUCUGCAUAUUCUGUAUUUUGGCUUAAUAUGUGAACCCCCCUGCCCCACCUCAUAACCCACAACCCGGUGUUAUGUGGAGGGAAAUAGGGGCAUAUGGGUAUGAUGUUUAUGAGCUUGGCUUAGUUCAUUACAAUAAACUCGAAAAUGAAAUUAAGUCACAUGCAUACCAGUGAUGUUACUGAAAUGUUAAAGCUCAGUGAACCUAGGUUAAUUCACUGAAAUUUGGAUUGAUGAGGGGAAAAAUACACAUACCUAUAGUUAUCUAUCUGUUCAUAUUAAUUAAAUAACU